UGGGGAAUUUUCCGCAAUGGGCGAAAGCCUGACGGAGCAACGCCGCGUGAGGGAUGAAGGCCUCUGGGCUGUAAACCUCUUUUAUCAAGGAAGAAGAUCUGACGGUACUUGAUGAAUAAGCCACGGCUAAUUCCGUGCCAGCAGCCGCGGUAAUACGGGAGUGGCAAGCGUUAUCCGGAAUUAUUGGGCGUAAAGCGUCCGCAGGCGGCCUCGUAAGUCUGUCGUUAAAGCGUGGAGCUUAACUCCAUUUCAGCGGUGGAAACUGUGAGGCUAGAGUGUGGUAGGGGCAGAGGGAAUUCCCGGUGUAGCGGUGAAAUGCGUAGAUAUCGGGAAGAACACCAGUGGCGAAGGCGCUCUGCUGGGCCAUAACUGACGCUCAUGGACGAAAGCCAGGGGAGCGAAAGGGAUUAGAUACCCCUGUAGUC
rnacentral:rRNA from 1 species